ACAUGCAGGCAAACACUCACAUACACAAAAUGAAAAGGAAAUGUUUUAAAAAGUAAAAGUUAUAUUGUAUUACUCUCUAUCAUUUCUCAGUAACCAGCUGUGUCAUGGACAGAGACCUUCAAUAGACCAGGGUUCAUCACAGUAUCCUUGCUGACAUCCCUUGCAUCUUGGAAUCCAGAAGCCUCUUACUGCUUACGGAUCCUCUGUCUGAGCAGUCAGUCAUGCUGCCUCCCUCUCCCCAUAUGAAAAACAGUUACAUCUUCCAGUGUUUCCAGAUAUAAAAGGGGAAAUUGAUUCUGCCACAUGGCUAACUGGAAAUCAAUAAUGUUUGAUCUCGGGCAACGUGCCUGUGAUUUGCUCAAUUAGAGCUUACGGAAGCUGCUCUUCCCUCUGCAGGAUGAGGAGUCAUUUCGAUUUGCAGGUAAGAACUGAAGUCUCCUUUACAGUGGACCUUUCU
rnacentral:lncRNA from 1 species